AGAGCGAACGCUGGCGGCAGGCUUAACACAUGCAAGUCGAACGAACCCUUCGGGGUUAGUGGCGGACGGGUGAGUAACACGUGGGAACGUGCCCUUAGGUUCGGAACAACACAGGGAAACUUGUGCUAAUACCGGAUGUGCCCCUCACGGGGGGAAAGAUUUAUCGUCUUUGGAGCGGCCCGCGUCUGAUUAGCUUGUUGGUGAGGUAAAGGCUCACCAAGGCUACGAUCAGUAGCUGGUCUGAGAGGAUGGCCAGCCACAUUGGGACUGAGACACGGCCCAAACUCCUACGGGAGCAGCAGUGGGGAAUCGUUGCGCAAGUGGGGCGAAAGCCCUGACCGCAAGCCAUCGCCGCGUGGAUGAUGAAGGUCUUAGAUUAGUAAAUCCUUUACAGGCGGGACGAUAAGUCGAACGGUACCCGCGAAGAACGAACGACCCCCGGACUAACCUUCGUCGCCAGCAGCCGC
rnacentral:rRNA from 1 species